rnacentral:rRNA from 1 species
UACGAAGGGGGCUAGCGUUGCUCGGAUUUACUGGGCGUAAAGGGCGCGUAGGCGGACAGUUUAGUCAGAGGUGAAAGCCCGGGGCUCAACCCCGGAAUAGCCUUUGAUACUGGUUGUCUUGAGUUUGGGAGAGGUAUGCGGAACUCCGAGUGUAGAGGUGAAAUUCGUAGAUAUUCGGAAGAACACCAGUGGCGAAGGCGGCAUACUGGCCCAAUACUGACGCUGAGGCGCGAAAGCGUGGGGAGCAAAC